UAUUCUUUUUCAUGUCUAUGAAAGGUUUGUUAUGACUUAUAAACUAUGUUCGAAGAUUUCAGGCUGAAUUGAGAAAACCACUCUUUUAUAUUAGAUAAAUGGCAUUGAUUCAAUCAUCCACUCAGCCAACACUUUAUCCAAUCCUUUUUCUCUUCUCAUUAUAGUGCCAGGUUCCCUACUUUGGUGGGCUAGGAAUGUGAUGUUAGGUUCAGUCUUGGGAGCGGCAUUUUUUUUCCCUCUUGAGUUUGGAGAGCGAGAAGAGGACCCCAUCAUCAUCUAGCAUGGGGCUUUUUGGAUUGACAUAAGGUGGCAACCAUCAGAAACCAUCUUCCUAGCAGAUUGGUGGUUCAUUCUACAUCAGAUUGAAUGCUUCUUCUUGAAAGUGUUAUGUAGCUUGGUAUGCUCACAUUCCUGGGUUGAAAGUUCUGACUCCAUACUCAUCAAAAGACGCUCAGGGCCUUUUAAAAGCAGCUAUUAGAGAUCUUGAUCUUGUAGUUUUUCUUGAAAAUGAGUUGCUGUAAGUAGCUUUUCGAACGUGGAACUAUUUUUGUCAUGUGAAACUUGAAGUAUUUAUUUGAUUAGCAUUGAUUUUGGGAUGCUCCAAAUAUGGAGAGUCUUUUCCUGUUUCAGCGGAAGUUCUUGAUUCCAGUUUCUGCCUUCCAAUAGGAAAAGCUAAGGUAUGAUUUUUUGGAGUGCAUCACACGUUAUCUGCAAAUUUAAUAUUUUUCUUCAAGUUCCUCAUCUCAUGCCCUCCAUUAACAUAUAGAACAAGGAAAAGAUGUGACCAUUACAACUUUUUCAAAGAUGGUGGGUUAUGCCCUCUAGGUGCGUGUGCUCUUUCUUUUAAGCUGUGGUGCCAAUGACCAGUAUGUGAUCAAUAGGUUUAUUCACAAGUUGCUUGUGUAUGUUGCACUCUUUUUGGAAUUUGGUUGGUGCUUAUCCUCGUUGAACUAUAAUAAGCUUUAGGCAGGGCAAAACUAGGUUAUUUAGUGAGGGUUGCAAGCCUAGCC